GCUGGGCAUGGUGGUGCAUGCCUGUAGUCCCAGCUACUGGGGAAGCUGAGGUAGGAGGAUCUCUGGAGCUCAAGAGUUUGUGGCUGCAGUGAGCUAUGAUUGCACCACUGCACUUCUGCCUGGGUGACACAGCAAGACCCUGCCUCUA
rnacentral:SRP_RNA from 2 species